rnacentral:lncRNA from 1 species
CUCCUUUCUACUCCUCAGCAACCAAAAUAGCAAUAUCAGACAUUUCUCUCAAAAUCCUGAGGUAAUUAACACCUUGCUUCCUCUCACUUUCUGAAAACCUGGAUUGGUGACUGAAUUAUGGGCAGCAAUCUCACCUUGGAAACUAUUUAUAGGAAAAGGUGAAUCUACAAAUGUGGAUAAGCCUGACGAUUUAUUUAGGUUAUUUAGCAUCUUCUUAUAUAUUAUUUUGUGUUAGUCUUGUUUGUUGUUUUGGUCGGUCACGGAUUAGAUGUUCUCACUUUCUAUGGAUUAUUACACUUUAAAAUAGAAUAUUAAUUUAAUUAUGACCAUUGACCCCACUAGUUGAAACUUCAAGCUGAUCCCAUCAAGCCACAUUUUCUUCACCUAUUCAUAUAAAAUUGACUCGUGCCCUUCAAGCUUUGUGUCACUUGGAGCUCUUGAAUUCAACCUAAUUUCUUGCUACAACUUGUAUUUAUACAUUAUUACAUAUUUUAUCAAAUUAUUUCUAACAAUACCAAGGAACCAAUGCCCUAAAAAAAUAAUAGAAUCAUACAAAAUUCUAAACUAGUUUAUUUAAAAUAAAAAAAUUACAUAAAAAGUUUUCUUGGAUCAAAGCAAAUCAAUUCAAACUAAGGGUUUUUUUUUUAGAUAAUUUUAAAAAAAUAUUCAAUUAUAAACAUGGAUUGUAAUUGAGAAAAUACUAAUGCUUUCCUACGAAGUAAAGUGAUGGGAAAGGGAGGGUAGUUUGGUAAUAGGAAUAGGGGCAAGCCGUGGCUUUCAGCCGUCGGCGGGCGCCCACCAUUUCUCUUGCAGCAGUUUUGGCUUCAAGAAAUGGCAGGAGUCCCCUGUUUUUUUAUAAAGCCAAGAAUAAAUAUCAAGUUGAACAUCAUUAUUAUUGAAUAAGUAAAUUUCAUUUUUUUCAAUUAAUAAUUUUAUCCAAAAAUUGGGGGAUUUUUCC